rnacentral:rRNA from 1 species
CGGUGAUAAGCCGGAGGAAGGUGGGGAUGACGUCAAGUCCUCAUGGCCCUUACGCGCUGGGCUACACACGUGCUACAAUGGCGACUACAGGUGGGCGGCAAUCCCGCGAGGGUGAGCUAAUCUCCAAAAGUCGUCUCAGUUCGGAUUGUUCUCUGCAACUCGAGAGCAUGAAGGCGGAAUCGCUAGUAAUCGCGGAUCAGCAUGCCGCGGUGAAUACGUUCCCAGGCCUUGUACACACCGCCCGUCACACCAUGGGAGUUGGGAUUCACCCGAAGGCGUUGCGCUAACUCGCAAGAGAGGCAGGCGACCACGGUGGGCUUAGCGACUGGGGUGAAGUCGUAACAAGGUAGCCGUAGGGGAACCUGCGGCUGGAUCACCUCCUUUAUG